rnacentral:lncRNA from 1 species
GUUUUCUUAUGGAAAAUUCAAUUUUGAAUGUUGGAAAAAUGAAAAACUUGUUAUGAUUACAUGUUUUAUGCAGUCGAACUUCUUAUCAUUAUUAUGUAACUUUAUAAAGAUCUAUCAUCUCGUGUGAUGAAUCUGAUGUUGAGAGGCACUAUCUGAAUGUUAUCCUUUUGUUAUUUCUUAAAUUUUUGUAGGGCUUUGAACCUAGGACAAAAGCAGAAUCAGCAGUGCUUUUUAUCUUUGUUAAAUUUGUUUCUUUUCUUAAGAUUGAACCCCAACCUUAAGGGUCCCCGCCCUGCCCUGCCCUGCCCUGCCCUGCCCUUUGGAGCAUCGUAAGAGAGGUUCAUCAACGUCCCAACAGGUCAAGGAAUAAGAGCUGCCUGUACACUGAUGUCCACGAAGACUCCAAAUUCAUGUUUCAAAAGUCGAAUUCUCACACUGCGAUUGUCAACAAUACCGAGUAUAAUUCAUCCUUGUCUUUUGCACCAUUGGGAUAUAAAUUUGUUUUUCUUGUUUUGGAUGAUACUCAUUAUGUUUCACAUGUUCAUAGUUUAUGUAGAUGAAAAAGUUCAUUUAAUUAUAUUAAUAUCCUCGCUAUGCUCAUUAAUGUGAAGCAACUGUUAAUAUUACUUAUGAAAGACUCGUGUUGAACAAUGUUGUUCAAAAGCUCUUUAGAACACUGAUUUACAAGUCAUCACGACCUUAAAAGAGCAAUGGAAUGUGGUUACAAUGUCCUUUGACAUUGGAACUUUAGGUUGAUUAGAUUUUUGUUAAUAUUGUUGAAAAAUGGAAAAAUGAAAAUGUUGAUUAUUGUGUUGCUAGACGUCUUAUCGCAGGCAACAUUUGUAUUCUAUUUUAUUCCAACCUAGAAAACACCGAAUCUUGCAGAGGCAAAAAGCAAAUGCCUUUGGAAAAAGUCAUUACUUGAAAGAACUCAAAUUCAGGUUCUGCAUGAAAAUUCCUAGUGAUUGAUUCACAUGUUCACCAGUGGUGGUGGCUCCCUCUUCUCAUGAUUUGAACUCUCUGCUCACUUCACACUUUUUGUGAAAAAUGAGGGCACUAGAGUAAGAAUCUUGAAAAUGAUGAAAGAAAAGUGAUGAUGGAUCAGGGAAUGAAGUGUUUUGUCAGGCAUUAAGAUAUAAUAGAAUGAAUAAUGUUAUUUAACACGAUAAUACAUCAGUUUAAAUAACUUUAUGUGAUAUAUUUAAUUAAAUGUGAAAUUGUGAAACUCAUUUAAUUAGAUCUCUCGUUCAAUAUCAUUUAGUAUCAUCUAAAUUGGUAUUAUAGCACUAGCGAUGCUAACAUUAUUCGAAUUUGUUUUGACUCUAGUGUGUGUGUGUGUUGUGGGGUGGGGGGCUGUAAAGGGUCCUCUUGGAUCCUCUUUUUGGUGCAAAAGACUGCUCAAAUUCCCUAGUAAAUGGCCUUUUUGUCCAAUGCUUUUUGACUGUAAAAUUCAUAUAAAUUACAAUUUUCCAGAGUUUUGACUCUGAUUGGUCCUUGCUUUUCUUAAUCGUAAUUCCAUUUCCCACUGGAACAUGUGGGCUUAAUUCCUAUUAUAGCAGGAAAAGUGAUUGGAGAAAUCAAACCCUUUUACCUCAUUAAACAUCAUUACGUACCCAAGACAAUAGCCCACAACCUUAAUACAUGUAAUAAAAUAUAAUUAUUCAUAGUAUUAGUAUAUACUAAUGUAAAGAUGCUACUAAUCCUGCAUUACAAGCUAAAUUCACUCAACAAUAAAUCAACAAACAUUGGGACCAAAUCCCAUAAAACCAUUUGCUCCAUCAAAAGAGAUUUGUAUACCUUCUUGUUGAAUGUUCCCUAUUAUGGAAAGUCCUGAAGGCGAGGGAGCAAAUGCAAAACAAAAUGUGCCCUUUUCAUCCACUGGAAUGAGGAAGUUCCUAGCUGGAAGAGUUAGGAUCGGCCCGCCCGACAGGAAAAAUGAUACUGUCGGUACCCGAACAGUCUCAAACCCGUUCAAGUCAUAGCAAGUGUCGAAUAUCGAAACACCAGAUGAUCGAGGCAGAUUGGCUGUUUCGGCGAGAAAUAUGUCGCGAAAAGCCACGUAGGCUGCGGUUGGUAGCCUUGUGACAGCAGUCCCGGUGUCCAUUACCACUCCUCCAUCGCCUGAUUCAGUGAGUCGAAAAACGUUCUCGCCGAUUGGAACCUGCAUGCCACCGACCCCAAGACCCGAAAGCCCGAUAAAGUAAAAACUUGGGGCCCUUGGAUUUCGGAGUAGUGGUACCCAUGCAGCACCUAUGGGUAAUACCGAGCGGCCGAAUUCCAAUGACCCGGAUGAGUCCGUGCCUCGACUCACGAGGCAAUAACUAAAGGCUCCGCCCGUUUGCCCGCCCAAUUGACCCACAAGUGACAUGGAUCCCCCUCCAAGACCCAACAACCCGGCAGCUCCAAUAAACAUGCCCCGAUUCAUGUGCCCGCAUCCAAUGGCCACGCUUUGGACCUGGGUGUGUCCAAUGGUGAGCGUCUCGAGGGCGAGUGUACCUUUGGUGUACGACCCGUCACCAUACGAGACCUCGUACUUACACCGACCCGCAUGACACCCCGAAUUCUCGACCCGAUCACAAACCGAGGAGCUACACGACACCCCGGCAAACGAAGCCGAAUCUGCCGGGUCAAAUACUGGAUCCGACUGAUGGUAACAUUGGCUACAAGGUUGACAUUGGACCCAGACAAUAUCACUGCCAGAAUCAAUCACCAUGUAUUGGCUCCUGGCUGGACUUCCAACACCAAUCCGCACAAAGUAUUCUCCACUACCCUGGUCCAUGCCGGAAACCACUUCUGACCCAAAAUCCUCCACCUCAUAACUAGCCUUUCCACCACCUCCUCCUCCAGCGCCGGCUUUCAGGCGGUGAAUCAAGCUAGCCACCCUUUUAACGUCCCUUUUCAUGCGAGCCUCGAAACGGAGGUGAUGGUCAUUCGACCAGGCAAAAGAAAGCUUAUCUCUGUGAACCAAGUGAAGCUUCCAUGUCUUGUUCUUCUUUACAUCACCAUCACCAUGAUCAUCAGAAAUUAGUUCAUUGUAUUCCUUUGGGGCUCGAAUUUUCGUCUCGGCGGCAAUGGUUUCUUUAACAUUAAAGUUUUCAAAGGAGGGGAACGGUAUUGCAUGGCCGGAAGAAGUGGUGGUUUCAGAGGUAGAUAGUAUAAGGCGCGGCGGUAGAAGAAGAAGAAGCAAGAAUGCUUGAAAGGCUAGUAGUUGCAUUGCUUCAGUGUUUUAUUGGCAAAGAAAAUUAUAGUAACCAAAUACUUUGUUUUGAAAUGUGAGAUGUUUGAUGGGGUUUGUGGGGGAUUUAUUGGCUUUGGGUGAAGAAGAAAAAGUGGAGGAGAGAGAGAGAGACGUGGGAAAAUAAUUGAGUGGAGUGAUUGGUUUUUCCAUUUGCUUGUUGACAAAUUGGUGAAUAGUGAAAUUUGAGAGUGAGCUGUCUUUUUAUUUUCUUGUUUCCAGUUGCCAAAGUUCUCUCAAAACUCCCAUCCGUAGAGAAUAGAAAUUAAAUAUUCAAGUUGAUAAGAAAGGGCCAGGGGUGAAAGACCAAUUAAGAUCGAAUAUUCAUUUCAACCGUUCUAAUUUGAGAUUUCACUUCAACUGAGAAAUCUUUGGAUCCUAAAGCAAAUUUUUUUGUUUUUUAGAAAAAGCGGUAAACUCUUUCAUUAAGGAAGGGAAAAAAUAACCUAAAAGAGGUUGAGAGUAAGAGCAAACUAACCAGUAAACUCUUCGAGCUUUCCUUCAUUCGCUUUAUGGGAACAUCACAAAACAUGGUUGGAAGUCAGAAGGUGCACACUACCUACCAUGGAAUUUUGUCAAACGUUACAUAAUUGUGACUUCCUAAAUACUCCUGAAUUGUUAUUGAAAUUUAUAAGAUUUCGAGUUGUGAUUUAUUUUAUUCGUAAGUCUGUCGCUUGCUAUUUUAAAAGUUAAUAGAUUUGAUGACGUGGUAGACAAGAUUUCAUACUAAAGUUGAAGCAUGCUUCAUGUGAAAUUACGCCUUCUAGUCAUUAAGGUUGUUAAGUUCAAUGAAAAAUAAGAAACGUUUGAAGAAAAAGUAGUAGAGACUCUUAAAAACUUUUAAAAUUCAAUAAUCGUGUGAUUUUUGAAAAUUAAUUUCUUACUAAAUACAUUAUACAUUAUGGUAUAGAAAAUGUAGUCAAAGUAGAUGCAUUCUGUCUUCAUGAUUUAAGGUUAAGGUUAGCCAAAUAGGAGCACAAACCGCAAGCUGUAGGGCACAUCCUCACUUUAGCGUUUUUUCUAAUCAAUCUCAGCCGUAUAUCCGCCACCUUUAUAGGCUUUGUCGACCGAAUGAAUAAUGAAGCUUCCAAUAUAGGUAGAGUUAGUUUCACAUAUAUUUACUGAUGUUCGAGUGAAAUUUCGAAUUGGUUUAUUAAAUUAUAGAAAAUGAUUUAUUAAAUUCCCUUGUUUGGUAGGGUUUAAAGUUUAUAUUUUAAUUUAAGUCAAAAUUAAUAAUUAAUUUUAAUAGCAUAUUCCACCGAAUCUACAAUUUUUCAAUCAUACAUUUCAUCAACUUUUAUCAAAAUCAGUUAAAAAUUCAAUUUUAAUCUUUACCAAACGGGGCAUAGUUGUUUGACUCAUCUGAGGCAAUAAUGAUAUGUCAAAUCAAUCCACAUAUCUAAUCUAAUUCACGAGACCCAUGUCCCAUAAUCAACUUAUUUACUAGUUAAGUGCAUCAAGUCACAGUUGCUUAACAGACACUUAGCAAAACAUUUCUCAUUAAGCGACCAUUUGGUAUUCAUUUUAUUUUUAUCUCUCCUAUUUUCAACUACACAAUUUUUCAUAAAAUAAUAUUAUGCACAAAUCGAUAAUUUUUCAUUCUUUUUCAAUCACUCAUUUUUCAAAUAAAUACUAUUCCAACUAUUUCCACUACCCAAAAAUGGGGAAUUACAUUUCAUUUUUAUUUCUCUUAUUUUUAAUCACACAAUUUUUCAUAAAAUAAUAUUACACGUAAAUCGAUAAUUUUUCCUUCUUUUUCAACCAUUCAUUUUCCAAAAAUGGGGGCCCAAACGGGGGCUAACGUAUUUUUGCAACCCAUUUACAGUUCAUUUGACGGGCUUUUGAAAGUCAAAAAGCAAUUUCUGAGAUUAAGAAACUGUUUUUGAAUAUAUUUGGACAGUUUUUGAAAAGUUGUUUAUCUGGUCUAAGAAUUUUUAGAGGAAGGUGGCACAGGAUAACUACUUUGGGAUGUUCUUCUAUAAGAAGCAAAAUAAAAAAAUAAAAACCUUCCAAAACGAACACUUGGUAACUAAAGUUAAAUAAGUUUACAUAAUUGGUCAUUCAUCUAAUCGUAUCCACUCCAAAUUCUAUGUCGAACUGUUAAAUCAUAACAUCGAGAAGUUUUAGAUCAAUCUAUCGUUUGAAAUGAUUUAAAUCAUAUUAUGCUGGGUCUUAAACUCUAUUAGACCUAUCCCUUAGUUAUCUCGUGACUUAAAUCUUUUAAAUAGACUGCUAUAUUAAAAGUUGAGCUUUUUUAAUUAACUAAAAAAAAUACUAAUGGAACUCUUUAUUAUUGGAAUUAUAUAUUAAUUACCUUUUACAUCACAAGAAGAGUAUAGAAAGAUUUCAGUUACUUUAUAAUUAAAUAAUUUACCAUUAAUCUUUUUAUAUAUAGAAACUUUUCGACUUUUUCUUGGUAAAGUGCUUUUGCAAUUUGAUUAUUUCUUACAAAAAGUACGUAUGCAAGUGCAUUUCUUAAUUAUACAAUUAAGAGCUCACAAUAUUAUUCAUUACUAUCAUCCUUGUAAACACGUGCUCCUUUAACAUUAAUUAACUUCUAAUGAAUAAUGUUAUUAAUUUAUUUUCUAGUGAAAAUUUUCUCCGAUCAAUAAUUUUAUCUAUGUUACGUUGCGUUGAGAAGUAAAUAUUUAUUUUUUUUUAAUUUUUUUAUUUAGCCCAGUAUUUUUUUUUUUUUGAUAUCCAGAUAUCACAGCUUACACCAGACUAAAUAGCGGGUUAUGCUUCAACUGGAUCACAGGUUCCCUCCAUUGACUGUACACUUUUGCGCACAAGAGACCUUCCCCCACAGUGAUUGUUCCAUACCAAAUUUUUAGCCGAGUAUCUAAUCAAUAGGAAACCAAUUGUCCCUAUUUAAUUUUGUUAAAAAUCGAAUUUUUAUCAAAUUUUGAUAAAGUUGAUGAAAUGUAUAUUAAAAAAUUGAUAAAAAUUAUAGAUCCCAUAAAAAUUAUAGUUAAAAAAUAAAUUAAAAAAAAAUGAGGAUCAAACAUGAGCUGUUAUUUGGAUUUAAAUCUUUUGACAGAGAAGUCGUCAAAAUGAUUUUGAACAAUAAUUGUAACAAAAGCGUCAUUUGGGAAUUUGACGCUGAAGCACUUGUGACAUAAUAAUAUGUUCGACUGAACUUGAUUAGCUAUAAUUAAAAAGGACAUUUGCGACGUAUAAAUACAAAAUACUAUAUUGUUACUUACAAUCCCAACAACUCCACGAGAGUUUACACUUUAUAUAAAAAAACAAAGACUAUCAAAAAAAAAAAAAUAUAUGAACACUAAAGCUAUUUCUACGUGCCGCACGUUAGUUUGUAGAUAUUGUGAAGUGGACUCAACACCAUUACAUAUUCGGUCACAUGUGUCACAGUUUAUCAAUCACAAAUUAUUUUGAUCACAAUUAUCAAAUUUUAAGUUUGAGUUGGUCACUAGUUGAUCACAGAUCAAAUACUAUGUCAUAUUCCAUGCCACCACUGCCACUUUCCACCGCACUCACCCCGUCCAUGUCGUCAGCCACCAUCUCGUCGUCGACACUACCAAUCUACCACCAUCGUUAGUUCCACUACCAACAAGAUCCACCCAAUUCCCCCAACACAAUUAAAACAAGACCACAACCACCACUCCAACCAAAAAAACACCACAACCAGCAUCACCACUACCCUAACACCGCACCACCACUCCAGAUCCACCUCCACCGCCCCCAGAAACCACCAUAACAACCACCACCACGAGUGCCACCACCUCCACAGUCACAAAAUCAUUGCCGCCACCAAACAGUCAAACCACAACCUCACCACCAACACCACAAAAACACAUAUCACCUCACAACCACUAACAAAACUGUCACCCCCAGAUCCUACUAACAAAAACCACCACAACACAAGGUCCAUAACUAAAAAAAAGAAAAAGAAGAAGAAGAAGAAAGAAAAAAGCAGGGCAACGGGUAGUGGAGUUUACAGCACCACCAUCUCCGACGGCAAUGGACGAGGCCGCCACUAUUGAAAAUCGGACCUGUGCUCACUACUGAAAACCCCAGUAGCCUCCACCACCGCCGCCCCCGACACCACCACUGCUGAAAAUCGAACUGGCGCUCACAUUUACGAUUCCAAGAAAAGGAGGCAUCGUGCCCCUUGAAGCAGUGCCGAUAGAGAGAAGGGAGAGUCUAUAGAGUGCAAUCGCUCAGAUUUUUCGACGCCAGUAGAGGUGGUCUCCGAUGAUGGAGUUGGGAGAGAGCACAGGCGAUUACGAGAGACGUGAGAAAGAAAAUGAGAGAUGGAGAGUGAGAGGAUGGAAAGGGGGAUUUUAAUUUUAGGGUUUAGUACCUGAUUUAUGCAUUAUCAAACCUUGCACCUGAUUUUAGGAUUGUGAUUUUUAAACACUGGCUUUGGUGUAAUUUCCUCUUUUUUCCCAUUGUAUAAACGUCAAGUGGGCUAAGGUCCGGUUAAGAUUUAAAGGGCUCUAUUUGGCCCAAACAUUUGGCCCAUUUAUUAGAAAACCAUCCACAUCCGUUGAUGCAAACAUGCCAUAAGCCCUAAAAUGAAUCCUAACCGUUACUAUAACCCUUCAGUCCACUAGGGUUUUGGCUUUUUUGUGUUAUUUGAGCCUCUUGUGCGGCUAUCGUCAUUCUCCUUCCCCCUCCAAAACCCCGCACCCCACACCCGAGGAAAAGCUUUGGGCAGUGAAAAAUGGUAAGAUUUCAGAUCAAAUGAAUUGUUAUUGAUCAUGUGGAUAGUUCUCUUGUUCUUAAUAUUUUUCCUGCUAUUAAUAAAAUGAUCAAUGGAUUUUGCUUUCCGAGCAUGUUCACUGUUCGUUUAAAUGUUCUGAAUUCUCAAGAGCAAAAAUAAUUUCGUGGUACUUUGGUGACGAUAAAUAUAUCUCAUUUCCUGGUAUUCCAUUUUGGUCGUUGAUUAUCAGAUGUUAAGCUUUUUUGCGUUUCUACAAUUCUAUAUUGUGCACAUGAAUAUGCCAAAUCCUUAAUUAUUUUGGUUUUAUGUGGUCAGGUUUUUUUGCUAUAGUUGGUUUGAGCAUGAAUAACUGCUCGUCUACCGUAAAUUAAACUUCGAUAAUUUUCUAUUUCACGUUUUAUGAUUUGGAAAAUUUCUAUGUGAUUUGUUCACACCAUGGUUGCGCUAAUAAGACGAGCAGCGUAAUGAAGUCCUCUCAUUGUUUUACAUAAUUCACAGGCCUUCGUCAAAGCCCAAAAGUCAAGAGCUUACUUCAAACGAUUCCAAGUCAAAUAUAAGAGGAGGAGAGGUAUGGCAUCCUUACCUUUGCUUCCAUGUUCUUAGUUGUCAACUUCUCUUAUUGUAUUUUUCGAUUCUGCAGAGGGAAAGACUGACUACCGGGCUAGAAUUCGCAUGAUCAACCAGGAUAAAAACAAGUACAACACUCCAAAAUAUCGAUUUGUUGUGCGAUUUGUAUCCUGAUACACUGUCAUUUUCCUUUUUUUGCAAAGUAAUAUACUAUUCUGAUUACUCUUGCACGCAUACCUAGAGCUUUGUCUUUGUUCAGCUUGACAAUGUAUGGGCAAAAUUCUGCCAGCCAAGUAUCUAAUUGUUUUCAUAGCAUUUUAUUUUUUUUAUUUGUUGACUUACUUUAUUUUCUUUUAUUCGCAUUAAAGUUGGCUUAUUGAUUUUAGCCAUUUGAAUUACUUAACGGUGGAUUUUGAGUUGUCCUGAUAGAAAUUAUUUUUCACCACAUAGGGAAGUUCCAUCACAUUGCUUGUAGUAAUAGUGUUAUUGCUGUGAUCAUUUUAAAAGAAUGUUCAAUAUGUUCCAUGUGAAAUGGCAAAUUACCUUGAUAUGAUUCUAGUCCAACCAAGACAUAGUUGCACAAAUUAUAUCUGCUAGCAUUGCUGGUGAUAUGGUUCUUGCGGCUGCUUAUGCACAUGAGCUGCCUCGGUAUGGCCUUGAAGUUGGGCUCAAAAAUUAUGCUGCUGGUAAAUUUGCUACUUUAGACCAAUUUGUUAGUUUUUUUCCUCGUAAAAAAUUCAAAAAUUUGUCACUCUUGUUAUUGAAAACUAGCUUACUGCACCGGACUUCUGUUGGCUCGCCGAGUUCUCAAAACCCUUGAAAUGGAUGAAGAGUAUGAAGGAAAUGUUGAGGUAACUACUAUUUUCUCACUUCAUCUGAUCUUUCAUUGCUUGCCACGGGAUUAUUCUUGUCUGCCUGUGAGUUAUGGAAAUCCUUUUAUUGAUUGCUUAUUCCAUUCAGGCUACUGGAGAGGAUUUCUCCGUUGAACCUGCUGAAAGCCGGAGGCCUUUCCGUGCACUCUUGGAUGUUGGCCUUGUACGAACUACCACUGGCAACCGUGUUUUUGGUGCCCUCAAGGUAGCAUUCCAGCUCUUCACAUAUUGAAAUUUGAAGUUCUAGAAGUUAAAAAUAACACUCUGAACUUAAUUAAUUCCUUUGGUUCUAAGCCUAAAAAUCACAUUAUUUCGUCAACUUUCUUACACUGACAAUUCCUCACUACUUAAGUUAGCAAUAAUAAGACUAACUCCUUAUUUAUUGUUAACUGCAGUGUCAUUUCAUUGUUAUAUAACUAAGUAAAAUAUAUUUGCUUGUUUUAUAUGUAAUUUUUUUUAGCAGUUUUAAAUGUAUUAGUUGACAUGACUUUGCUUGUAGGUGUAGUCUUAGAUUUUCUUGGAAUUAGAUAAUAUGAUUCUUUAUCCUCAAAAGUUAUUUUGUAUCUUGAUUAUAGGGAGCAUUGGAUGGUGGACUUGACAUCCCACAUAGCGACAAGAGAUUUGCUGGAUACAACAAAGAGAGCAAGCAACUUGAUCCCGAGGUUCAUCGUAAGUACGUCUAUGGAGGUCAUGUUGCUGCAUACAUGAGGGUGAGUCCUCAUUCUUAAAUACUCCCAGUGUUUUGUAACGACAAUAUUCAAAAUUCGUAAUUUUAAUCUGAACUUGUUGUGUACUUGUUAACACACGACAGCCUGCAAAGUUUCCAUUUAGUGUUUUCUUCCCUGACUUCACUCAUAUGAAGCAAACUAAAUGUUCCUCUGAACGUGCAGACAUUGGAGGAAGACGAGCCCGAGAAAUACCAGUCUCACUUUAUUGAGUACAUUAAGAAGGGUCUCGAUGCAGAUGGGUUAGAGGAGAUGUACAAGAAGGUCCAUGCAGCCAUUCGUGCCGAUCCCACACAAAAGAAAUCUGAAAAGCAGCCUGCAAAGGAGCACAAGAGGUAAGGCCUUUUCUGUGGGGGCCUAUGUUAUUUGUGAUCAAAUAGGGUUUGCUGGCUUUGCAAAGUACCACGUAUUCCUGAACAAUAUGGAUUCUCAAUGUUUAGUUGAUCAUAUACUUGAUCACUAACUGCAGGUCGGUUUUGGUUUACUUUUGCAGGUACAACCUGAAAAAACUGACUUAUGAGGAAAGGAAAGCCAAGUUGAUAGAAAGGUUGAAUGCAUUGAAUGCAGCUGCUGGGGAUGACGAUGAGGAAGAUGACGACUG